rnacentral:rRNA from 1 species
GGCUCAUUAGAUCAGUUAUGGUUUAUUGGAGAAAGCCUCAUACCAUGGAUAACUGUGGUAAUUCUAGAGCUAAUACAUGCAACUAAGCGCCGACCCUUCGGGGGAAGCGUGCCUUUAUUAGGAACAAGGCCAGCUCGGUCCUCUCGGGGGCCGGUCUCCGCUGGUGAACUCUAGAUAACAAAGCCGAUCGCACGGUCUCGCACCGGCGACGCUCCCUUCAAAAGUCUGCUCUAUCAACUUUCGAUGGUACGUUAUGCGCUUAUCAUGGUCGUGACGGGUAACGGAGAAUCAGGGUUCGAUUCCGGAGAGGGAGCCUGAGAAACGGCUACCACAUCCAAGGAAGGCAGCAGGCACGCAAAUUACCCACUCCUGACACGGGGAGGUAGUGACAAAAAAUAACGAUACAGGCCUCUUCGGAGGCCCUGUGAUCGGAAUGAGUACACUUUAAAUCCUUUAACGAGGAUCUACUGGAGGGCAAGUCUGGUGCCAGCAGCCGCGGUAAUUCCAGCUCCAGCAGCGUAUAUUAAAUUUGCUGCAGUUAAAAAGCUCGUAGUCGGAUUUCUGGCCGGGGCGGGCGGUCCGCCGCGAGGCGAGCACUGCCCGUUCCCCUGCUCCUCGUCAGAAGGGAGUCGUGGGAGAUUUUUCCCGGCCAGUGAUUCGGUUGGUCGUGCGGUGCUCUUUGCUGAGUGCCGUGCGAGACUGGAACGUUUACUUUGAGAAAAUUAGAGUGUUCAAAGCAGGCCAAAGUGCCCGAACAGCUCAGCAUGGAAUAGUGGAAAAGGACCUCGGUUCUAUUUCGUUGGUCUUGAGAUCCUGAGGUAAUGAUCAAGAGGGACUGCCGGGGGCAUUCGUAUUGCGGCGUGAGAGGUGAAAUUCUUGGAUCGUCGCAAGACGCCCGACAGCGAAAGCAUUUGCCAAGAAUGUCUUCAUUGAUCAAGAACGAAAGUCGGAGGAUCGAAGGCGAUCAGAUACCGCCCUAGUUCCGACCAUAAACGAUACCGACUCGUAAUUCGCCGGCGUUCCUCCCAUGACGCGGCGGGCAACUCUCCGGAAAACCAAAGUCUUUGGGUUCCGGGGGAAGUAUGGUUGCAAAGCUGAAACUUAAAGGAAUUGACGGAAGGGCACCACCAGGAGUGGAGCCUGCGGCUUAAUUUGACUCAACAC